rnacentral:rRNA from 1 species
GAUGAACGSUGGCGGCGUGCYUAACACAUGCAAGUCGAGCGAUUUACUUCGGUAAAGAGCGGCGGACGGGUGAGUAACGCGUGGGUAACCUGCCCUAUACACACGGAUAACAUACCGAAAGGUAUGYUAAUACGAGAUAAAAUAAGAGAUUCGCAUGGAUUUCUUAUCAAAGCUUUUGCGGUAUAGGAYGGACCCGCGUSUGAUUAGMUAGUUGGUAAGGUAACGGCUUACCAAGGCGACGAUCAGUAGCCGMCCUGAGAGGGUGAUCGUUAUCUAGGUGACACUAUCGAAUACCCAAGUC